rnacentral:rRNA from 1 species
CAGUAGCCGCGGUAAUACGAAGGGGGCUAGCGUUGUUCGGAUUUACUGGGCGUAUAGCGCACGUAGGCGGACUUUUAAGUCAGGGGUGAAAUCCCGGGGCUCAACCCCGGAACUGCCUUUGAUACUGGGAGUCUUGAGUUCGAGAGAGGUGAGUGGAAUUGCGAGUGUAGAGGUGAAAUUCGUAGAUAUUCGCAGGAACACCAGUGGCGAAGGCGGCUCACUGGCUCGAUACUGACGCUGAGGUGCGAAAGCGUGGGGAGCAAACAGGAUUAGAUACCCGCGUAGUCCCUGUCUCUUAUAC